UAUGGUAAAUGAAUGAAUGAUGCGAGAGACAAAUUGAGUCUUCACUUCUCUAUGCUUGGACUGAAGGGAGCUCCCUAUUUUUAUCUUUCUCAGAGUACCACAUUUUAUAUCUAUAUAUAUACAAGCAUUGAAUUCGUGUGUA
rnacentral:precursor_RNA from 1 species